ACUCUGUAUUGGAUAUAAAUUACAUGUGUGAUUAGUCAAUGUAAAUGUGGUUUAUAUGUUAUAUUUACCUAUUUAACAUCAUAUACCAUAUGUUCCAUGAAAUUAAUAACUCUUCAAUUGGUUUGUACGUGUGUUUUAUCCGUCACGGAUCCAUACACCGGACUACUAAAUGGGCCUAAAUAUAAAGGCCCAUUAAAUGAUGGGCUUUAGUAUGUAUGGGCUUUAGUAGUUUUAUGUUUGAGUUUUGCAGAUAAAACGACGUCGUACUGUUUGGACAAUGGCGAUUCCGGAGAGAACGAGAUUUACCCACAAGAUUGAGAAGACCACAAGAUCUUCGAUUUGAGUGAUAAUGGUGAAAAGCCCAAACCUUGGAGAAAAUUUCGGUUUUGGAGAUCUAAAUUCUUCAGCAGAAUCAUUGUGGAAGAUUGUUGAACAUCAUGAUCCGGCCAAAGAAUUUUAGGGUUCCAACUUGUUUCAUGCGUUCGUGAUUGGAGCACUGUUCGAACAGAAAACGUAUCUCUGAUACGGAAUCUCCUUUUGAUCAUAUGCUGCUGUUUCUGGGCUUUCCUCAAUUUGGGCAAAGAAAAAAUCUUUCCUUUUGUCUCUCUGAGUUAAAUGUUACAGUGUGUGCCUUUGAUGGUGUGCCCGUCUCACUGUACUGCAGCCGCUAAUGUUCCUAAAAGUUCUCGAUCUCAUCCUUCUCUCUCUCGAAUGUGAUCCACUUGGGAUUUGUGUGCGUUGUAGUGGUUUUGAUCUCAUUUUAUCACAUGUCUUAACUCUCAGAUCAAGUGCUUGUCUGCGUUUCCUUUUCUGGCUGUCUUAAAAUGAGUUUCAGAUCAUGUGACGCUUUCUGACACUCUGCCCCUUGAUUUUAUUAUCAUUCUUCCCACUUUCUGACCUGACUUUGGCUACAACUGACCUGACUUUGGCUACAACUGCUAUGAAAAACACUAAAGA